AUGGGGCCGAUGCCGGAUCUCGAGGACAGUUUUGCGGGUAUGACCCUCCAUGGCGAAGAGGAGGAAGAUCUUGACUUCUCCAGCGAGGUAGAUGAUCUCACCAAGGAUGUUUGUUGGCUGGGCUUAUUCCGGGUGCACACCACUCGACCUUUCAGUCAUGCGGCGCUGCCCAAUCAGAUGCAAAACGCUUGGAAAAAGGAGCUGGCUGAGAAGGUAGCUGCCAAGGUAGGAGAGCCACCUCUCACGGUGAUAGUCAAUGAAGGGAGGAUUAACCCAACUAGCACUCUUCGUGCUAGGGUAUUUCUAGAUGUGACCAAGCCGCUGGUUCAUUUUGUGCUAAUAACAUUGAAGGGUAGUAAGAGGUAUAAGGUUUUCUAUGAGAAGCUCCCUGAUUUUUGUUUUGUGUGUGGGCUCAUGGGACAUAUUGUUGAAGAAUGUGGCGACGGUGUCCACAUUCCCUCGAAAUUUGAGUGGGGUGAUUGGCUAUUAUGGGAUCCUGAACCGCCAUCUGAUCGUCCUUUUGUUGGAAGGGGCGAGGGACAUAUGGGUGGCCGAUGA
rnacentral:rRNA from 1 species